UGGGGAAUAUUGCACAAUGGGCGCAAGCCUGAUGCAGCGACGCCGCGUGAGGGAUGACGGCCUUCGGGUUGUAAACCUCUUUCACCAGGGACGAAGCGCAAGUGACGGUACCUGGAGAAGAAGCACCGGCCAACUACGUGCCAGCAGCCGCGGUAAUACGUAGGGUGCGAGCGUUGUCCGGAAUUACUGGGCGUAAAGAGCUCGUAGGUGGUUUGUCGCGUUGUUCGUGAAAACUCACAACUCAAUUGUGGGCGUGCGGGCGAUACGGGCAGACUAGAGUACUGCAGGGGAGACUGGAAUUCCUGGUGUAGCGGUGGAAUGCGCAGAUAUCAGGAGGAACACUGGUGGCGAAGGCGGGUCUCUGGGAAGUAACUGACGCUGAGGAGCGAAAGCGUGGGGAGCGAACAGGAUUAGAUACCCUGGUAGUCCACGCCGUAAACGGUGGGUACUAGGUGUGGGUUCCUUCCUUGGGAUCCGUGCCGUAGCUAACGCAUUAAGUACCCCGCCUGGGGAGUACGGCCGCAAGGCUAAAACUCAAAUGAAUUGACGGGGUCGAU
rnacentral:rRNA from 1 species